GCCUGGGUGGCUGAGUCGGUCAAGCGUCCAACUUCAGCUCAGGCCAUGAUCUCGCAGUUUGUGGGUUCGAGCCCCACCUCGGGCU
rnacentral:tRNA from 1 species